GGGGCAGACUGGAUUUGACAGCAGGUCGAGGUGAAGUGUAAGCAUGCGGUGCGCCUGAAAGUGGGCACCUUAAUAUCGGCUUUCAAAAAUUUAACUGGCGAAAACAACUACGCUCUCGCUGCCUAACCGAAGUAUAGUAAGUUCGGGCUUUAUCACGACACUAGGUGUUGUGACGAGACAUCACUCCACAGCCGUUGUUCCGAGGCUCAUGGGUUAAGUGGUGCAGACAAUUCGGGAAUCGUCUUGGGUAGCCUCGUACUCUCGAUUAAACUUUAGAGGAUAAGGUGCAGACUUAGUGGCUCUGGUCUUUAUCUACACCCGAAAAGCUUAGGCAGAGAUAAGCAUGUAGAAAGCAUUUUAGCUCCCUGUUUGGACGAGGGUUCAAUCCCCUCCUGCUCCACCA
rfam:Prevotella sp. oral taxon 302 str. F0323 genomic scaffold supercont1.1, whole genome shotgun sequence.